UCCAGAUAUCAAACUUGUUUACAACGGAGAAACUGUCUCGUUUCUAGUUCUCUUAAUCUUUGGGGCUCAACAAUCCCCUGUGGCUAGUACCAUACAGCUCGAGCACUUGAUUAUCUUCAAUACUGAAGCCCUCUCCGAAUCUCCAUGCUCUUGAAGCACCUCUUGACUGCGUCGCUACGCGGUUAAUUUGUUUUUGCCGAAGUGUGUCUCACGUUAAAGUAAACGCAUCUUAAUUUCUUUUGCCGAAGUGUGUUUCACGUUUAAGUAAACGCAUUAAUUUCUUUUAGCCGGAAUAUCUAAAAUAACCCUCUUAACGUUUUAUCUAAUUCAAUGAAAGCCUUCAAGUUAACAUUUAAACAAAUAAGCCUCAUCAAGAUCGUCUGCAAACGGUUCGGAAAUUGCAGCGGCUGUCACAUUGUUCCUUGCUUCAAAGGUUAGAUUCUCUUAGUUUUCUUUGGCAUAGGUGGAGAGCCGACGCCCGGAAAAUUGUCAGAUUCUUCAAACUAGAGUGAACAGGUGAGGUCUCGUGAACAGGUUAAAGUCAUCUCAAGAAAACGUGGAUGCAAACCACGCUUAAGGUUUACUCAUGCGCCCUGCAAUUCACGGGUCUGAAUGGUUUUGUCUGAGCCCAACCCCGUAGGGCCUUCUCCUCUUGGUGCUGUUUGGGCCAAAGUCAACCCUAAGCCCAUCCAAGAUGGAGUACCUCGUCAUGCAUGCAUAUAUAAGGAGAUUAGUAUGUAUGAUUAGGUUAAGAAACAUAAGGAAACAAGCACAAGGUAUUUGGCAAGCAAUCAGAUCACGUUAAAGGGCAAAAGAAUGGAGACAUCAACAAAGAUAAAUAGCUUAUGCCUAAGUCUAUUUGAUCAUAAGAAGUCAAGGAGCUCGAUGUGAUCGAAAUGGCGGUUUAGGAGACGUGUUACGACCUGGAAAAGAAUGCGUUUUACCAUCAUAAAAAAUUGAAUCUACGUACCAUAUAUGUCUCUGUAGUUAAUGCUUUUAUUCAACUCUUAUGCUUAGACUUUGGAUCCAUCUGAAAUCUUUUACUCAUUGGGAAACCCACAGUCCAAACCAUUCUCUUCUGAGGGUAGUGGUAAGCCGGGGCACAGAGUGGAUAUCUAAAAUUUUUGUAGUAUCAGUGAUCCAUUUCAUCUCAUACGAAUAUUUAUAUAUAUAAUUUGCUUCAAUC